rnacentral:rRNA from 1 species
GACGAACGCUGGUGGCGUGCCUAACACAUGCAAGUCGAGCGACGUGAGUACUACGGUACGAACUUAGCGGCGGACGGGUGAGUAACGCGUGGACAAUCUACCCUGUAGACUGGGAUAACACCUCGAAAGGGGUGCUAAUACCGGAUCAUGUCGAGAAGCGGCAUCGCUGUUCGAAGAAAGGAGAGACUCCGCUAUAGGGGGAGUCUGCGUCCCAUUAGCUUGUUGGUGAGGGUAACGGCCCACCAAGGCGACAAUGGGUAGCCGGCCUGAGAGGGUGAACUGCCACACUGGAACUGGGACACGGUACAGACUCCGACGAGAGGCAGCAGUGGGGAAGAUUGUGCUAUGGGAGAAACCCUGACACAGCAACGCCGCGUGAGCGAAGAAGGCCUUCGGGUUGUAAAGCUCAAUAGUAUGGGAAGAUAAUGACGGUACCUUACGAAAGCCCCGGCUAACUACGUGCCAGCAGCCGCGGUAACAC